CCAAAUUUAUUAAUUUUGCUUUGAGCAAAUAAGACGAACGUUUUGUUUUACAAUCCUAGCACAGGCGUUAUAGGUUCUGUUUGCAACCCAAGCAUUAUUUCACCUUCAGGAUUUAUUCGUUUGGAUCCCUCCCGUAGUAUUUUGCAUGGGAUUUGAUCCCCACGAUACCUCUAAAUUCCGUCGUAAACAGGCCGUCAGAGUUCAGACACAUGGUCCAUAUGCAUUGUUUGUUGAUGGUAGCAUGCAAAGAGCAAGAAUCAGGAAUUUGCUCCAUCAGUCCUCUGCCUGCUUCGUCUGCAAGAGAAAGCUACGUAACCUUUGUGGCUGUGGGCCUGUGCCACCCCCCGCUGCUGCUUCCUGCUGUCGUCCUCGUUCGUCCCUACCUAGCUGCUUACCUCUCUCCUGCAUGCUGCGUUGCUGCCAUCACCUCCGUGCCAUCCGCGGCGCGACCCGGUCCGAGCAGUCCCUCUCUCUCUCUCUGCUCUGCUCCGCUCGACAAGCACUGUGACUCUGUGAGCGACACUACUGCACACCGCCACCGUGGCCGGCCGGCGUCCGCUGCGCUAUAUGUAUACAAGCAGCUAGCACCAAGCAGCACGGCUCUCCAACUCACAGUGCCACACCGGCAGGCAAGGCAUCGUCGACCGACGGCGCGCCGCAGCAGCAGCUUCUAGCUCCAAACCGAACCAACACGUGCUAUCCACCAUGGA